rnacentral:rRNA from 1 species
UGAACGCUGACAGAAUGCUUAACACAUGCAAGUCAACUUGAACUUCGGUUUGGGUGGCGGACGGGUGAGUAACGCGUAAAGAACUUGCCUCACAGCUAGGGACAACAUUUGGAAACGAAUGCUAAUACCUGAUAUUAUGAUUAUAUGGCAUCGUAUAAUUAUGAAAGCUAUAUGCGCUGUGAGAGAGCUUUGCGUCCCAUUAGCUAGUUGGAGAGGUAACAGCUCACCAAGGCGAUGAUGGGUAGCCGGCCUGAGAGGGUGAUCGGCCACAAGGGGACUGAGACACGGCCCUUACUCCUACGGGCGGCAGCAGUGGGGAAUAUUGGACAAUGGACCGAGAGUCUGAUCCAGCAGUUCUGUGUGCACGAUGAAGUUUUUCGGAAUGUAAAGUGCUUUCAGUUGGGAAGAAAAAAAUGACGGUACCAACAGAAGAAGUGACGGCUAACUACGUG